GACGAACGCUGGCGGCGUGCUUAACACAUGCAAGUCGAGCGGUAAGGCCCUUUCGGGGGUACACGAGCGGCGAACGGGCGAGUAACACGUGGGUGACCUGCCCUCAGCUCUGGGAUAAGCCUGGGAAACCGGGUCUAAUACUGGAUAUGACUCCAUGACGCAUGUUGUGGGGUGGAAAGCCUUGUGCGGCUGAGGAUGGGCCCGCGGCCUAUCAGCUUGUUGGU
rnacentral:rRNA from 1 species